rnacentral:rRNA from 1 species
GACGAACGCUGGCGGCGUGCUUAACACAUGCAAGUCGAACGGAAAGGCCCUGCUUUUGUGGGGUGCUCGAGUGGCGAACGGGUGAGUAACACGUGAGUAACCUGCCCUUGACUUUGGGAUAACUUCAGGAAACUGGAGCUAAUACCGGAUAGGAGCUCCUGCUGCAUGGUGGGGGUUGGAAAGUUUCGGCGGUUGGGGAUGGACUCGCGGCUUAUCAGCUUGUUGGUGGGGUAGUGGCUUACCAAGGCUUUGACGGGUAGCCGGCCUGAGAGGGUGACCGGCCACAUUGGGACUGAGAUACGGCCCAGACUCCUACGGGAGGCAGCAGUGGGGAAUAUUGCACAAUGGGCGGAAGCCUGAUGCAGCAACGCCGCGUGCGGGAUGACGGCCUUCGGGUUGUAAACCGCUUUCGCCUGCGACGAAGCGUGAGUGACGGUAAUGGGUAAAGAAGCACCGGCUAACUACGUG